rnacentral:lncRNA from 10 species
GCCGGGAUGAAAUUCAGGAGUUCUAUUCCCCCUUCUCCUUUUAAUUGUCAUGGUGGUGUCUUUCGACCCUAGCAGAGAAUAUGUGGUCGAUAUUAGAAUCACCUGGGGAGAUUUUACAAAGCAUCUAUGCUUGGGUUUCUUUGGAGGAAAAAAAUGAAGAACUGUGUACAAUGGUGACUAAAGAGCCUCAGCAUGACUUCCGCCCCUCAGCGCCAUCUAUAACCUGUUUUACCAUGUCGGAUCCCGUCUGGAGAAGCCCACCGAGUGCAGGUGAACCAGGGAGGCGAAGUCCAUAGAAACAGCUGUCUUGGGGGUCCGGGAAGAGUUUAACACUGGAAUCACAUCUGCGGAAACCGGGAACUGGAAGCAAAUUGAGGAUGCGGCCAGAAGGGAAAAUCAAGUUUUUCAAGCAAUGAGGUUCGGCCUUGGCCUAACCAAUAGUUUCUACCACUCUCCGCACCCCUAAAAUUUCCAUCUAUUCAUCUGGUUCCAGAAACAGAUUAUCCAGCGUCUUUGUAGAUCUACGAAUAUCCCUUAAAGUCGGGUGCGGUGGUUCACGCCUGUAAUCCCAGCAUUUUGGGAGGCCGAGGCGGGUGGAUCACUUGAGAUGAGGAGUUCGAAACCAGCCUGCCAAUAUGGUGAAACCCCUGUCUCCACUAAAAAUACAAAAAAUUAGCCGGGCGUGGUGGCGCACACCUGUAAUCCCAGCUGCUCGGGAGGCUGAAGCAGGAGAAUCGCUUGAACCCAGGAGGCAGAGGUCGCAAUGAGCUGAGUUCGCGCCACUGCACUCCAGCCUGGGCGACCGAGUAAGACUCCCUCUCAAAAAGGAAAAAAAAAAAAAAAAAAACAAAUCCGCUUUUUGUCUGGCUUUGUCGCUGCCGGAGGACCUUGUGGCCAC